rnacentral:misc_RNA from 1 species
UCAACCCUCAAGCCCUGCUUGGUAUUGGGUGCCGUCCCUGCUGUGGACGCGCCCUAAAGACGUUGGCGGCGGUGUCAUACCUCAAGCGUAGUAAAAUCUCCAGCUUUCUUGGUGUGACAUUGCUUUGCCUCCAGAAACCCAUCUUUUUACA